rnacentral:sRNA from 1 species
AUUUUCAGUAAUGCUAAUGUAGAUUUUGUAGCAGAGCUACAUUAUGUUUGACCUUGAAACUCACUAACAUGUGUGACAGAGAUGACACUUAAAGAACAUUUUUUUUUUUUUCCGUCAAGGUUUUUCGUCAAGACUUAGAGAAACUUAUCUACAGUGAAAUAUUAGUAAUGAUGACUAAAGAAAUGGGAAAAAUGUCGUUUAAUACAUGAACUUUCAAAAAUGGUCAUUUAAUACGUGAACUUUGUAUGUGGCCAUUUAAUACAUUUAAAAACCGUUGACUGGCCAGUUUAUACGGAGUUAAUCGUUGACUAGGCCAAAAUCCACACGACGUUAUCUGGCGUUAGCAGACACGAUAACGGCUGCUAACUAGUCUCCGUUAGUUCUUAAUACAACGUCAUUUUACCAUAUCGAAACAUGGA